AGUUGGAGUAUAACUGUGAGUGCGGUGCCACCACUUCGAGCCAGCGCUUGUCAUUUCUAACACUGCCAAGAGUGCUGGUCUUGCACCUUAAGCGCUUCAAGUUCACUCCAUCUUUCCAGCUCAGGAAGGUACAUGACCCAGUUGUUAUCGUCCGAGAGCUGGUGCUGCAAUCCAACCAGGAUGGUGGCUGCUACAGUCUGGUCAGCUCCAUCAACC